GGGCGCUGAGAAGUAGGUCCUUAUUAAUAGUUAGGCGCGGGGAUCCACAGCCCUUUACGUGGACAGCCCCACCUCCAAGCGGUCGCUGAACUAUUACGGUUGUGUCUCGUUCAUUCCCAGGCCGAGGGGCCGAGGGUACAGCCCCGGGGAUCAAUGCGCACACACACACACACACACACACACACACACACACACCUCGGUGCAUAAGAGCCCAGGCGCAUCUGAACAUCUCCCGUAUGGGCGGGCUGAUUUACACAUCCCCACUCGAUGGUGCGGUCACUUUUCAUCUCUUAGCAAAGGCCAACAUCAAUUUUUACUGUGAAGACCGAGAUAAGCUAUGAUGGCCUCACACCCUUUUCCCCCUGUCACCCUGCAUAUUUAGUGGAUUUUGAUCUCUUUUUAUCCCAUAUAAACUGGGGAAGAUAUGGACCGCUACUUUCUGUCAUUUUUUAAAAUAAACAUCCCUUUGUCACCUACCAUAUCUUAAGAUGUGUACCUGCCCAAGGAUUCGGUGAUGUUCCAGAGCAGCAGACUGGGAGGAGGCAGAGAAUGCUGGACCUCGGCCCCAACCCCCAACAAAUGCCUGUUUUGGCAGAGGAGACAUCUGAGACCAAAUGCAACAUCUAAAUUCGACUUGACUAGAAGCUCAGAUAUUUAAAGAAGAAUUGAAGUCAGAGAUGCCCAGGGAAGAUGCAUUCCUGCGACUUCCUGCCAUAGUGCGAUCCUCCAAGUCUCCUUGUCGUGCAUGAAGUCCUGCCCUUCCCUCCGUGGUCAUUGUCACAUCAGACUGGGUUGGAUGUGCCCAGAUUCUGGGAGAAACAGCACCACUUUGCCUGCCACUGGGAAGUUCAGCUGGGCCGAUUGGUGAUCCAUGGUAACCUUGACUGCACAGUGACCAAUCAACAGACAAUUGACUCACAAGAGCCAGAAUGGAAGCAGGAAGGACUCAGCAGGCCGGGAUCCAGAAGUGACCUGCUGGCUCUGUCAGUACCGCUGGACAAACAGCUGGGCUGGAGACAACACACUCAAGGAAUGUUUUCUCAGCCUGGCCCAGGGAGGCUGCACAUCUGUCCUGGCUUGUUGACCUGCUUUCUGCAGCCAACAGAGGAGAUGAGUCCAGCAGAGAUGGAGGCCAUAAAUCAAUGGAGAGGUUGUGUACUAUGGGAACAGCACCCGGAGAAGCCAAGUUCAGUGGCUGAUGCAAAACACCACCUAAUGCCUUUGCUGAUGGUUGGGUUGAGCUCAGUGUGA
rnacentral:lncRNA from 12 species